CUACCGCUACACGUGCCUGAAAUACGAUAGAGAAACAAUUUCAAGUAUCGAAAAGCACAAUAUAUUACUAUCAAUAUGGACAACCAUCAAUCCACUGCAGUUAGGA
rnacentral:lncRNA from 1 species